rnacentral:rRNA from 1 species
UACGUAGGUGGCGAGCGUUGUCCGGAUUUACUGGGCGUAAAGAGCGCGCAGGCGGUCGUCCAAGUCGCGUGUGAAAGCCCCCGGCUCAACUGGGGAGGGUCACGCGAUACUGGUCGACUCGAAGGCAGGAGAGGGUAGUGGAAUUCCCGGUGUAGUGGUGAAAUGCGUAGAUAUCGAGAGGAACACCUGCGGCGAAGGCGGCUCUCUGGGACGGUACUGACGCUGAGACGCGAAAGCGUGGGGAGCGAACAGG